UAGGGAAUCUUCCGCAAUGGACGCAAGUCUGACGGAGCAACGCCGCGUGAGUGAAGAAGGAUUUCGGUUCGUAAAACUCUGUUGUUAGAGAAGAACAGCGCAUAGACUAACUGUUAUGCGUGUGACGGUAUCUAACCAGAAAGCCACGGCUAACUACGUGCCAGCAGCCGCGGUAAUACGUAGGUGGCAAGCGUUGUCCGGAUUUAUUGGGCGUAAAGCGAGCGCAGGCGGUCAAUUAAGUCUGAUGUGAAAGCCCCCGGCUCAACCGGGGAGGGUCAUUGGAAACUGGUUGACUUGAGUGCAGAAGAGGAGAGUGGAAUUCCAUGUGUAGCGGUGAAAUGCGUAGAUAUAUGGAGGAACACCAGUGGCGAAGGCGACUCUCUGGUCUGUAACUGACGCUGAGGCUCGAAAGCGUGGGUAGCAAACAGG
rnacentral:rRNA from 1 species